UGUUGUUAUUGUUGUUGUAGAUGGACCCAACACCUUUAUUUUUAUUUAUUUCUGUUUAUGUUGUGCUGAGGAUCAAACCCAGUGCCUCACACCUGCUAGGCAAGUGCUCCACCACUGAGAUACAACCCCAGCCCCAGAAAGCAGGUUCUUAAAAUGCUGUUACAGAGAUUGGCCUUUGUGUUCUGGAGAAGGACUCUUCGUCUUCCUUUUAUUAUUAAAACAUAUCAAUAGAGGACUUCAUAGGUUCCAUUUGUCCUUGCUGAAAACAGCCCCCACCCUCCUUUUCUUCUUCAUCCUCCUUCUCUCUCUCAUCUAUAUCCUUCCUGCUUCUUUCAUUUUCAUGCACCUUUCCUUUUCCAUAAUCAUAUAUUUUUCUUUCCUACCCAUGACUCAGGCCAGCACACACAACCUCAUAGUUUGGCCUCCCUAAGUGGAAUUCAGGGAGUAAAACAAGAAUCCCUGCUGAUGGCAUAACCACACCUGAUGACAUGCUUUACCCAUCACCCUUCUGCCCCCUCACACAAAGCCCAUGACACCAGGAAACCUGAGGAUUCACAGGUAGUACCUGAUGCAGACUGUCUGCACAGGAAUUAGAGUGGGAGGAGGGUAGGGGUGGAGGAGGUAGGAUAGAAAGGUGACAUGCCUUUACUAUAAUAUCAAUCACUAACACUUAUUAAGCACUUACUCUAUUCCAGACAGUUUUGCAUGCUUUAAAUUUAUGUAGCUUUCAGACCCAUAUUUAAAAGCAGAAGAGAAUUUACAUUCUAUGUCAAACCCUUUUAUUUAAACCCUAUUAUUUACAUGACCCUCUUCUCAACCAGACCAUGGAAAUGUUUUUAUAUUUGUAAAUAAACACAUGCACAUAUGUACACACAUAGAGACACAUACACACUCACAAAAUCAGAUUUCCAAAAUGAAAAGGGCUGAAAGUAAAGAAAAAAAAUAACACCAAGAAAAAUGUUUUAAGGGCUGGGGUUGUGACUCAGAGGUAGAGCACACACCUAGCACGCGUGAGGCACUGGGUUCGAUCCUCAGCACCACAUAAAGUAAAAUAAAGACUCUGUG
rnacentral:lncRNA from 1 species